GGAGUUUUGUCUUCGGCGGAGACUAAGAGGGGGCACGGGGAUGGGGCUGGGGUGGGGUGGGUGGCAUUGAGAAAAUCGUCUUCGUCUUCGUGCGAGGAGACAAAGGAUUGGACGUAGGCGAUGCCGAAGAAGCUGAUGAGAUAGAUGAGGGAGGCGACGAGGCCGACGACGGCAGAGAUCUCGGCGAGUGUGAGGACGUGGAGGGGGGUGGAGGCGCGGACCUUCUCGCGCCAGCGGGCCAUGAUGUAGUACAUGAGGGCGAAGAAGAGGGCGAGGAAGAGCUUGUUGGUGAGGCCGAUGGGGAGGAGGAGGGCGUCGGAGGCCUGCACACGAAGGGCGGCAGCGCCGCCCGCCGCCCCCGCGGGCUUCCCCGCCGGCGAGGGGUUGGGGCGGUGGCGGCGGCGGA
rnacentral:misc_RNA from 1 species